rnacentral:rRNA from 1 species
GACGAACGCUGGCGGCGUGCUUAACACAUGCAAGUCGAACGAAGUGGCGAACGGGUGAGUAAUACGUGGGUAACUGCCCUCCUUUUUGGGAUAAGCCUUGGAAACGGGGUCUAAUACCGAAUAAGGGGGAUGGACUUGCGUCCUAUCAGCUUGUUGGUGGGGUAGUGGCCUACCAAGGCGACGACGGGUAGCCGGCCGGGGAGGGCGACCGGCCACAUUGGGCUGAGAUACGGCCCAAACGCCUACGGGAGGCAGCAGUGGGGAAUAUUGCACAAUGGGGGAAACCCGGAUGCAGCAACGCCGCGUGCGGGAUGACGGCCUGCGGGGUGUAAACCGCUUUCAGCCAUGACGCGGUAGUGGCAGAAGAAGCACCGGCUAACUACGUGCCAGCAGCCGCGGUAAUC